GGAGGAGGAGAAGGGUCACCCGAAGGGAUGCUUCCAAUGCGGCUGGCGAUCCUUGUUCAGCCAGUUCCUUCGGGAAAC